AACUUUCAACAACGGAUCACUUGGUUCUCGCAUCGAUGAAGAACGCAGCGAAUUGCGAUAUGUAAUUUGAAUUGCAGAAUUCAGUGAAUCAUCGAAUCUUUGAACGCACCUUGCACCCUUUGGUAUUCCGAAGGGUAUGCCUGUUUGAGUGUCAUUAAAUUCUCAACUUCAAAAGAUUUUGUUAUCUUUUGAAAGCUUGGACUUUGGAGGUUGUUUGCAGGCAAUACAUUUUUGUCAGCUCCUCUUAAAUGCAUUAGCGGAACUUUGUUAAGGACCGGCUUUGGUUUGAUAAAUCCUAUCUAUGCCGUCGCUGUGGACUUUGUUAUGUUCAGCUUCUAAUGGUCUUCGGACUGUCUCAUCGAGGCAUACAAAUUUAAACUUGACCUCAAAUCAGGUAGGACUACCCGCUGAACUUAAGCAUAUCAAUAAGCGGAGGCU
rnacentral:misc_RNA from 1 species